GGAAAAGAGUUCUAUAUGUGCCUGUAUAUCCAAGAGCUGCUGUCCAGACACAGAUACAAUAUAAACAGGCAACCAUAUGUACAGACAAAAUCAUCAAGGAACCUCAAAGCUGAGCGAAUAUGGCCAGAAAUAAAUAACAGAGUCAACUAUCCCCUGAAAGAAGCCCUGCUGCAACUUCAAGACCAAGAGGUGAUCAACAUGGAGGACAACACAACUAGAUUUUGUGUAUCCAAUCUCACUUGUCAGGUUUCCUCAAUUGGGCUUGAACGAACUGUGCUAUCAUGGAAUGCACAUAGGAUUGCAGGUAUUUCUAAACAUGCAUUUUCUUUUUUUGGUAGUAACAAUGUAAACAUACAAAAUUAUAUACAAAUCAUUAUUUUGUAUAUAACUGCACCAAUGUCAAGCUACAUGUACUUGGCUUUACUUACAACCUUUUUAAACCUUUCUUCUUGUUUGUAUAUUAAUUAUGGUACUGCUGUUGUAGGAAAAGGAAUACCAAGCAUCUUGGCUGAAGGUGGGUGUCCAGCAAAGAUUUCCGAGGAACUCCUUCCACAGGCCUCUGUGGUUGCUGACAUGUACCAGCAAGAUGUGGGGUCCUGUCUGACAAGAACAUCAUCAUUAGUGACAGAUCCUUUUUAUUGUGAGGAAGACAGAGUCCAGGCGGAGGAAAAAUUUGCUGAUCAUUAUCCAGACAUUACACGGUGCUUUGAUCAGGCUGUAAAUUAUGACUUCACACCCUUUAAAGAAGCCAUAUUACAUCUCAUAAAUGUAACAAGACGUUAUUCAUGAAGAUGAAGGUUUCUUUAAUAAUACCAGGAACAAGACAUUCAUCAUAAAACUAACAUUUAUUACAUAUUUUUGUGAACAAUAAUUUUACAAAGUACAAAAAUAUACAAAUAAAUAGCAAGUCUUUUGAACAUAGGCAUUAUGAAUUGUAUUAAAACAAUGCUGUAAUUUGAGGUAUAAAACUGUCACAUUAAAGCUUUAAUAAAGUGUUAUCCAGUGCUGCAUUUUACUUCAAAAGUUGAACUUGACACUUAAACAGUGAUAUUUGUUAUAUAACUUACAUUGUAUAUAAUAACUCUGAUUAAAGCAGAAAAAGUGCUGCCUGCUUCUCACUUUUAAGUCAAUAACUGAACAGUAAUAACUUGAACAGUUAUAACCUUUUUUAUACUCUAUAUUCAAGAGUAUAUUUACUCUUAACAUGUAACAAACACCAGUAACUAAUAAAGAGCUGCCGUAGUAGUGCCAUAUUAUGAAACUUCUUAACGUGUGACACUUGUAACAGGUAUACAACAUUUUUUCCCACUGUAUUUAAUCUUUGAUAAGAUCACCAAAAGCAGACAAUGCACCAUCAAUUCCUGUGACUCUGUAGGUGUCUUCCCUUGAGUUGUCUUCCCUCUGCAUUUCACACAGGUGUUGACAUUUCGCUGCCACUGGUCAAAGCACAGUUUGCAUGCAAUGAGACUCUGACAGCAAACUGCAAAAACAGGAUAAUUCAUGGGCCCUAGAAAUUUAAAAUAAAGAAAAUUACUUGUUAGUUUUUUCAUAAUAUUUCUGGGAUCUUAAUCCAGAGAGAAGAGAGGAAAGUAUUACAGUUUAAUUCACAAAAUACUAUCCUGGCUAUCAACAAAUCUUAUAGAGACUAAAUUAUCUUGUUAACAAACCUUUGCAAAUAAUGCAAGCAAAUGCAUUUUUAAUUGCUGCAUGUUCUUCGUCCGUGAAUGUAAUAAAAUGUCUGCGUGCCAACGUCAGCUCAGAUAAGCCUCUGAUGGCCUGUGCAACCUCUGACAGUUCUUGGGAUGCCAACACCAACUCUUUCAUUCUUUCUAAGAUCUCUGAUAGCUGGCUGUCAUCAUCCCGUUGGCUGAGGAAAGAAGUUACAAUAAGCACACCAUGUUUUUCAAAUAUUUAAGUCGGUUACAUGUUAGUAACUAACAUGCUCCAAAUAUCUGCUAUUUUACCUUAAUCUUCUCCUUUUGGAUCUCAUAUCCAAGAACUGUUGUUCAGGCACAGCAAAAACCUUCCUAGAAUUUUGUUUCCAGUAAGCUGAACCUGGGGAAAUCAUUCGUAUUUUAAAAGAUGAAUUAUAUCAAGAUUGAACAAGUGAAAAUUUUAUAAUAGGAAAACAACACUACUAAAAUGCAGACACCAAAACAAGCUGCUUUCAAUGUGCUUUUUGCCCUCUAUCAAGGCUUCAUCAAUCAGAACCUGAUAAUUUGUCUUUAACUUUUUGAGGGUCAGAAAAAUUCAGGUCAUUUUCAUGUGUAUCAUAUUUUUAUGUGAAUUAAACCCUUAAUUUCACAAUUUUUUUAAUUAUAUUUAUAUUGUUUAGGUGUAUAGAACUUUCUUUUUUUAUCAACUGGUUAUCACAUUUCUCUGACCUUACUGGUGUUUUCAUUGUGUUUUUCUUAGAUUUUUUUAAAACAGCUUGUAGUCAAUUUCAUCUUUUGCAGUUACCUUUGGUUCCCUCUGUAUCGAGAAUUUCAUUCCCCUGGCCAUCAGUCAGUAUCAUACCAUCUUCUGAUCCAAUAGCAUCUUGGACUUUUGACAAGAUACCAGGAACUGAUGCCUCAUGUUCAUGAAAACGGAUCACCACAGUCUUCUGGGGGUGUCCAUUUUCCACCAACCAGAUCAGCAAGAAAAACAUUCCUUGAAAUAAAAAUAUGUUUAGUUAAAUAUCCAAAGACCACCCGAUCUUCCUAUAGCCUAGACCUAGGGAGAAUGCAAUGCCAACAAACAGUGUAGUCACGGUAUAUUUCUUCAAUAAUUCAGGCAGACAUACAAGUUGUUAAAAAACCUUGCUAUUAUUAGUAAACUGACAGUGAACUGAUAACAUAUGCCAUUUGCUAAGGUCUUCAAUUUUUUGUUAAAACUCAAAAGAAUAAACCAAAACUGUAAUAUUGUUCCCAUGGACAAAACGUUUGUUGAACUCACCGUUGAAAAGGUUUUGACAUACUGGCCCACAGUAAAGCAACACACCUGUCUAUAUAAGACCUUACAGCUCACAGUGCAUGUCAGAGCAAAUGAGAAUCAUGAGGUCAAAGGAACUGCCUGAAGAGCUUAGAGACAGAAUUGUGGCAAGGCACAGAUCUGGCUAAGGUUAAAAAAAAUAUUCUGCUGCACUUAAGGUUCCUAAUAGCACAGUGGCCUCCAUAAUCC
ensembl:lncRNA